AUGCAAGGUAUCUGUGGAAGCCUGAAGACGCCAGAAUUUUGUCUGCUUGUAAUGAAGGUUUCAGGUCUUACAGAUCCCUCGGCAAAGUCCAUGCCCCCUAGCUACCCACAGUGUGACACUAGCGCUCUACCGUCUAGUUAUGUCAGCAUCACAGUAAGAAUGCCCUCGCAUCCGAACCAUGAUGGGAAAUCAGCUGGCCACAGCAAGGCUGGAGAACCCUGUGUGUGCAGUCCUGCAGCACGGCCUUCUGAAGGCGCACCUCCUGCAGAGGUGUUGACGGGAAAGGCGAGGAAGAGGGGAUAAUGUGACCUGCUUUCACAGGAAGCUUCAGAUCAUUUCCCUUUGUCUCUGUGCCCCUUUGGGAGAUUUUGAUCCAAUUUGCUGUGGUGAGAAGAAGCUCUCGACAUUACAAGAGAAAAAAAAAAAACCCAAAACUUUCAUUUUCCUCCUAAGAAAUGAAAUUUUAUUUCUGGAUGACAAGGGCUUUGGAAGGCCAUGGUGUGGUAAUGAGUGACCCUUUCAUAGCUGUUGAACAUCAGUAGGCGACACAUCCAAAGUAUAGAGGCAGCUCUUAAAAUACCAGCUAAAGGAAGAAUUUAGAGAACAGAAUGUCUUUAAGGAACUGUGCGAAUGUUAUUGAUUCUUUCAAAUAAUGGUGUAACCUCUGUGAUACAGCAACAAUCUUCAUGAGCUGUAUUUAUAAGGAACUGAGCUCAUGAAGACAGCAUGGGGGGUCUGGCGAUGCAGGGCCCUUUGUUAACCAUUGUUCUAUUAUUAGUAUUGUUAGCAUUGCCCUGCACAAGUUAUCCACUUUUUCUCCAGCCCCCUGGGUAUUCAGCAGAAAUGAUUUAAGAAUGCCUGUAACAGCUGGGUGCAGUGGCUCACACCUGUAACCCCAACACUUUGGGAGACCGAGGUGGGUGAAUCACAAGGUCAAGAGGUGGAGACCAUCCUGGCCAACAUGGUAAAACCCCGUCUCUACAAAAAAUUGAAAAAAAAAAAGUUAGCUGGGCCUGGUGGCGUGCACCUGUAGUCCCAGCUCCUUGGGAGGCUGAGGCAAGAGAAUCACUUGAACCCAGGAGGUGGAGGUUGCAGUGAGCUGAGAUUGUGCCACUGCACUCCAGCCUGAGUGAGAGAGCGAGACUCCAUCUCAAAAAAAACAAAGAAUGCCUGUAACUUAGUCUCCUACUUGGCAUCACCUAAGAGUUCAGGAGUGCAGUGACAGGUUAACUGAGCUCUUGCAGAAAGGUGCUGUGGACAGCGAGGUAUAAGUCAGAGGAGUGACAUGUUCUAUGAUGGGAAAGAAGAAAGCUGAAAUCCCAAGGUGCUCCCUGACAUUUGCCACUCACAUAAACUGAUGAGAGAGUUUGUUAUUAAAGGCCUUUUUGUUUAAUUAGAAAUCAAACCAGAAGACCCUGGUGUCAUAAUUUAUUCUCUUGCAAAAUUAUGUGAUCAGAAGUUCCAGCCAUAACCACAGAGGCAUUGGAAGUUGGUAAAUGAUGCUCUGACUCAAAAGCUUCAAAGACAUAGGAGGGGCAGAGGGAAGGAAAUGUAUCAUUAAUAAACAGCCUGAGCAAGUGGGCA
rnacentral:lncRNA from 13 species